rnacentral:miRNA from 1 species
AUUAUAUUCAGUCAACAGACC